rnacentral:rRNA from 1 species
UACGUAGGGCGCAAGCGUUGUCCGGAAUUAUUGGGCGUAAAGAGCUCGUAGGCGGUUUGUCGCGUCUGCUGUGAAAACUCGAGGCUCAACCUCGGGCUUGCAGUGGGUACGGGCAGACUAGAGUGCGGUAGGGGUGACUGGAAUUCCUGGUGUAGCGGUGGAAUGCGCAGAUAUCAGGAGGAACACCGAUGGCGAAGGCAGGUCACUGGGCCGCAACUGACGCUGAGGAGCGAAAGCAUGGGGAGCAAACGGG